GCGACGAAACGGAGGCGGCGGAUCGUGCCAAGGUAUCCGCGACAUUUCAUAAACACGAAAUCAAUUUUAAUCCUCGCCGAGUGAGGCUGUCCUCCUCGCCUGGUCUGAACGGUGCUUAUUUAUAAGCACAACCGGGCCACUUCCUGCACGGGAUCAUGCCGCGAAUCUCGCAUCCUUGUGAUCGCUUUGUAACCGGGGAACAUCGCACGUUAAUAGACUCUGUGUUGUAUAUUUGUCUUUCUGUACAUUCAUCGCAAGAUUAUCACGGGAAAUGGCAAACUUUGUGACGAUACUGGAGUGCAAUUCAAGGUCAGUUGGUGAGGAUAAAUCUUUAUAGGUUAUGACAUUCAGGUUAGAUAACUUUUAUAUUAUCUCUGUUUUAUAAUUAUUAUAUAGUGAAAUGCCAAUGUAAAUAUUAUAAAUAUGAGUAUUUGAAACCUCUUAACCAGGUCAUCUAUUAACCAGAAAUUUCUAUAAUCAUGAAAUUGGAGGUUAGUAUUGAUACAGCAAUUUCAAAUAGGUUAAAUAUAAUUCUUGAAAAUGUAAGUAUUGUAUAAUAAAGAAAUUUUUCAAAUAACUUUAAAAAAUAAAAAAUCCAUAAGUAAAAAAAUUAUUAUUAAGUAAUUGUAGCAGUAAAUCCGUUUCUUGUCUUAAUCGUUAAAAGUGUAAAAUACAAGAUUUGAGAAAGACAAUUUUUAGUACUAUUAGUAUUAAAAAAUUUCUUAGCUUCCAUAUUUGAAAGAGGUAAGGGUAAAGGGGCAUAAACUGUAUUAAUUAAUAUAGAAUUAUGGCAUUCUUUGUUUUUUCUUGUGUGAUACUUUUGUCGUCGGUGUUACCGUUUUCUUGUUUUUUAAUAUAGCUUAUGUUACACAGAGGGAGGUGUAAUCUUAUAGGUUAUGUUUGAUAAUUAAAGGAGAAUUGACGAGUAAGUAUUGAGUAGUGAAAUCUAAUGUUGUAAUUAUUAAGCACUGAAAAGUUAGAAUUAUUAAGUACUUGAAGAGUCGGGUUACUUUCCUACAGAUGUGUGUGAGUAUCCUGAAUAACGAAUCUUUUAUUCUUUCUAUUGAUAUUUCCAUAUUUUCUCUAAUAAAGUUUAAACUUCUAUUAGCUAAUAAUAAAAAAUGAUGUAUUUAAAAACUAGUUUUGCAUAAACAUUAAAGUGGUAAAUUAAUACAAAGCGAUCAGUGGAUGUUGUAAGAUCGUUGAACUUGAACUUGCUGGCGGGUAAAAGCAGAUGGCAGAUAAAAGGUGUGAUUUUGAUUAGAAAAAUUAAGUUCACCAAGGUAUCAAUCUUUAUGAAAAGCAAAAAUGACUUCGAAAUUAGGUUUAAUGCUAGUGUUUCUCUCUAUAUUAUUAACGUUAAUUCUCUGUUCAUAAAACGUGUAAUACACCUUUCUGAAGUCCAUGACUUUAUUGCUCCCUUACGUUCACUUUACCAUAAUCUCACUAAUCUAUCAUCAAUCUUUUCACUGCAAAAAUGCAUAGUUAUUUUUUAUAUACGUUCAAAAGUUUCUUAAUAUUUACAAAAAAUGUUUAUAAAUCAUGGAUAUCUUAAAAAUAAAAAAUUAGUGAAAUAGUUAUGAGAACUUUAUAAAAUUUGUAUACAAAAUUGUCAAUAUAAAAGAAAGAAUUUAUUUUACUAAUAAAUAUAAAUCUUUUUUGAAAAUUCGCUAUCACGUUUCGAACGACAAUAGAACACCUCAAUUUCGCCCAACAAUUUAUUUCCACCAAUCCACUGAAUGGCUCUCGCAUACGUCUUCGUUCCGGUACUUCCGUCGCCGCAUUCGUCGAAGACCAGUGCCACUGUCACUCACCUGCCGAGCUCGGUGUAGCUAGAAAAUUUAAUUAAAGCCGCACGUGGCCGUAAAUUAUCCUGCUAUCGACAGGGAUACCGGAUCGUGGUGGCGGCUGUAACUUCCACAACAAGAAAAAGAAAAGAACGGAGAAUAAGUGUGGAAAAGAAACAAACGAAAUGUGCCUAUACGUUUGCUGUGUUUGUGUAUGGGCACAUUGUGCCUGUCGUGUACAUUGUAUGGUUGUAUAUACUUGCAUAUGUUAUAAAUGCUUGUGUAUAUUUGUGCAUGCUGUGUGUGGCUUCCUGUACGUGUGUAUUUGCCUAUAUAUGUACAGAUGUCAUAGAUGCUUAUGUAUAGUAACCAUACUACAUACAUGAUACUAUCCUUAUUGUAAAUGCUUGUAAUGCUUGUGUUACAUGUAUUUGUAUAUUCUUCUUUGUAAUAUCAAAAAUUAUCCACGAUGUCAUGUGUUUGUGCAUAUUUCUAUACGUCACAAAUAUUUGUAUUUUGUUAUCAAUGUUUAUGUACACAUAUUCAUAUAUUUCAUAUUUGUAUGUUUAUAUUUGUCUCACAUAUUUUUCUCCUACUUAUAUUUGUACAUACUAGUUUAGUUUAGAUUUGUUCUUACGUACAUAUUAUAUCGGUAUAUAGUUCGAUAUGUUGAAUAUUUGUCUAUACCUUCGUACGUAUUUUAUACGUAUUAUGUGGAAUAUGGAUGCGUAUGGGUGUACGCGUGAAACGAAUGGACUGAAGAAAAGUAGUGGGCUCAAGAGGUAUAGUAAUAUUAGUAAUACAUUCGGCGUGUUGCGGCCGCUGUUAGCACCGUUAAACUAGCUUUUACUGUUCCGGUCGGUCCUUUGAACCUCACCGCCUAUGCGGCAGCCACGGGCAAUAAAAUGCGUUCACCAUAAAAUACCGAGUCUCUCUAGCCUCGCCACGGCCUCGACCAUGCUCUCGUCAAUGCUCACGCAACCUACCUAGCCCAUUGCACAUCCGGUUGCGCCCGUUUUCCCCGACCCGCAGAUUUUUCACGGGAACCUUUAAUUAUUCCACGAACGGGAUACUCCUUAAUGUCGUACGUUUUUGGGGAUUCUAAUCUAAUUCAUACUAAUCGUAUAAGAAAAUUAGACUGUAGUUGAAAAUAUUCAGGAAAAAAAUCUAAAUCAUAUUUAUCGUUAAUACAGAUUUGCUGAGUAAGAGCGCGGAUCUUAUAAAUACUUAGUCAAUGGUAAAAGUAAAAUUCCUGAAAGGAAAGAAAACAACAUUUUGGCAGAUAAAGAAAUUUGUAGAUACCGCCAAUUAUUUAUUUUUAAUCCUAUUAAUCGAUCAAACUUAAAUUAAAACAUACGUUUAAAGUGUUUUAAGGUAGUAUGAGAUAGACUAGAUUAGUAGAUGUUUGAAAUUGUAGAUUAGUGGUAAUCUGUUUCCUGUUUGUUUGGACAUGCGUGUUAGAAGCUUCGCGAUAUGUUUUCAGUGCAAUUAAGUAGUCUUGUCAAGUGCUAUCCUUCUUAAGUCUUAGUUCUUUUUUUAAGAACUUUUAAAGUGGGUUUUAGUUAUUUUGAUUGAUAAAAGAGAAAUGGUUUUUGGUUUGAUGAAUGGAGAUCUGUCAAUGGACACUUUCGUUGAAACAUUAAAAUGUGAGUAUCUACAAUCAGUUAUGUGUAUCAAGGAGCUUCUGUUUUCCUGAUUCUACCUUUAUGGAAUCUUUCACACUGAUCAUGUUACUGUAGAGAAGCAUUCGUAUGUGAAAUAAGAAAAUACUAAUACUUUAAUUUGUAUUAAAGCAAUUUAUCUGCGUAAAUGAUCUUGUUCUUACAUCAUCUCUUUCAUUUUCACUUAUGUCUACUACAUACAAGUGAUGACGGAUUCCACUGGUUAACAGGUUAACACAUUUACUGUCACGACAAUCACCGAUAGCUGGCGCAGAACUUGACAUUUACACCUCGUCAGUCACCAAUGACCGUUAUGUGGUGGAUGUGUCAACAUUGUACCAUACAUAAUCACCUUACAUUUUUAAGGUUAUGCCCAAAGUCCUUAUACUUUCUUCGAUGACAAUUUACUCAGAUAAAUCACCUUAAGCGGCCUAAAUCAACAGAUACCGAGUCACCAGAAAAAUCCCAAUACGAAGAGAGAUAACCAAAAAGUAUCAGACAGACGGAGAGCGAGUUUAGCGGGUAAACAUCUGGGGUAAUUGGUAGGAAGUAUAAGGAAUUUUCUGGUAAAUUGAGCCGGUCACGGAACGAGAUGGAAUUUUCUCCCUUCUUGUUGUGGCGCAAUGAAAGUUUUCCAAUAAGAAACGAAAGAGCUAAUCAGAGUUUCCAAGGACUCAAUGGCCCGUGAACCAACGUGUCUACGCCUCCCUGCUUGGCCGCUUCUCUGUGUCGGUUACCUUACCUCUGCCUUCUCCUUUUUCCAAAAAGUCGGCAAGCAUGUCGAGAACAGUCUGAUCUUGCCAGUUUUCUGUAUAUUCGACUCUGUUCGUGGAGAAAAGGGCCUGCGUAAAGAAGAAGAAACGACUAUAGAACCGUGUCGCCUAGAGAUUUUAAGUUUCUCCCUAGUCGAAGGCGGAGAGUCGAGACUUGUUUGUUGUGGUAAAUUGGGCAAAGUUUGGUCUGACUUAAAUUUGGAAAUAUAGGAAUUAUGAAGUUUUUGAUUAUGUACAUUUCAGAAAAUUGAAUUUUAUUGUAAAAAUUUAGUUUAUGUAUCUGUUGUGAAUAUUAGAUUAAAGUAGUUUAUAGAUAUAAAAUACAGAAAGUUAAAUCUCUAAGAAAAUGUAGAAAAUGUAAGAAAAUGUCUCUAAGAAAAUGAUUUUACAGUUCGGAAUGCUGUGAACUUUAGAAAAUUAUCUUCAAAAGUAUUUGUUAAGGUUAAUUUAAGUUAAACAAAAAGUAUGCCAUAUUUAAUUCUUUGACACUGUGGCCCAUCAAGUAUAGUAUUAGGUUGUCCGAAAAGUGUCUUUCUUUUACCGACACGUCUUUUACAACGACGUAUCUUUAUACAAACAUGAAACCUAAUCUAUCGAUCGUUGUGAUCUUUAUUUUGAUAGAACAAAAUGGAUCACACGUAAUUCGAUAAAAUAAUAUAAAACAGAAAAUGUUGUGCGUCCAUUAUUUCCUUAUAAAACGAAAGAAAUUUUUCGGACCACCUAAUAUUUUAAAUUUCUACAUUCGAUAAUAGAAAUGCAAAAUAAUAACAAAGACACGAUUAUUUUCUCAAUUGUCCAUCCUGAAUUCCCCAUUUUAUUAUGUUGAAAAAGGAUUAAAUGUCAAUAACAAACAUACGUAACAUCACGAUACACCGCUGUCAAAGAGCACCGGUAAUACGAUAAGAAGGCAUAGAGAGAAAUAUCUCGGUGUAUAAACGAAAAACGAUAUCCGUAUCACCGUAACAAAACAACUACGUACAGUAUCAUUUGAUCAUGACAUUAAAAUUUGUCAUCUCAAUUUUCGUUCCAUCUAAAAAAAAAAAUUAUUAAAAAAACAAAA